rnacentral:snoRNA from 1 species
AAAAAAGCAGGGUCUUGUUGCCUCUUUUGAACUUGGCUCUCGUAACCUUCAGGGAAAUUAUGUUCAUUGUUAUUGGGUGAACCUCUGUAGUUAAUAGUUACUGAAGGUUCAGUAAAUGAUGGAACAUUU